rnacentral:rRNA from 1 species
GUCCUCUCCAGUGUCUCUCCACAAAGUGGGCUUGGAAGCAGCCAUCUUUUAGCGAUAGCGUAACAGCUCAGUGGUCUGAGCUCCCUAUUAAGGGAAUAUAGCCUGGUGAGGGCACCAAGAAUGUAACGGGUCUAUAGUAGUUGUCUCUCUAAAUGGAGAGAGUGGCAGUUGAUACAGGUGCAGAGCUCCAUUACUGCUUCACCGAAACCCUGUCCUAGAUAAUUCUAGGGGUAGCAGAAUAUCCAGCAAAUGGAAGGAAGCUUGCUCAUUGAGUAAGUGGACAUAGCUGGACUAAAAAUGCAGACAUGAGUAGCCUAAAAGGAGGUAAAUUUCCUCUUCGCCGAAGGCAGAAGGGUUUCAUUAGUGAGGUCUAUACCUAGAUGAUUAAAGUAACGGCCUCUAAGGCAGGGUGAUAAAUCAACUCAGAAGGGAAAACCUUCAUAUGCCGAUGAGUUAUUCUUCUGUAGGAAAGUAACCUUCCUUAUAAGUUUACCUUAUUUUUAGAGGUAUACUUUAAAGAGUAAGGUUCAGGAAAGAGUCUUACGGAGACUUAAUUUUCUAAAGAUUAGGUUAAUCAACCGUACCCUAAACCGACACAGGUCUGCAAGUAGAGCAUACUAAGGCGUUGAGAUAAUCGUCUUGAAGGAACUCGGCAAAAUAGCCCCGUAACUUCGGGAGAAGGGGUACCAUUUAUUAUGGUGGCACUAAAUAGGGGGGGCGCGACUGUUUACUUAAAACACCGGA